rnacentral:lncRNA from 1 species
UGGAUUUUUCAAGGAAUAUUGAAUGAGAUAUUUAGUAGAUGCUGUCAGAGGUACUGGCAGACACAGUGGCGCCUUCAACCCCUGCCUUAGACCAUUUAGGAAGUGCAUAAGUUAAGAUAAUGAUAUUUAAAUUCAACAUCAUUCAGGCUUCUUUGAAGCUGGAGAAGGAGAAGCUUCCCAGAACCACAGAUCCCCUUUUCAAAUGUCACUUCACAUGUUAUAUUUUCCAGAUGCCCCAUAGACCAAAGAUGUCUUAAGCAGAAAUUAGAGGGGUUGCCAUUCCCUACUCUUAAAGUGUGUAAUCACAAUGCAGGGGAUAAUGAAAGGAAUUAGAAGACUCCUUUCAUUUUCCAUUGGCAGGUGUUGCGGUCUUGUGAGAGAGAAGCAGGAGGACCUGUCUCUCCUUUUUUUCCUCAUCCAGUUUUUCAGCUCCUCUUAAUUCUCCCAUUCCCCCAGCUCAUUAUAGAAGGGUUCCAUAAAUGGUAUGAGUAUCCAGAAUCCAUGGGCAGCUGGUAAGGCCCCAGUACUGACACUGAACCCGGGCUCCUUACAUUGGGAGGCUAGAUCUGGAAGCUGUCCACUGCUAGAAUUACCCGCAAUGUCCUGCAGUGAUGCUGUGUCAGGGGCAAUGUGGGUCUGGGCUGCCUAGUGUAGACUGCAGAGCUGCCACCAUCAGGUCUGGACUGUCCAGCAAUUUAAGAGGGGCACUUUGCUGGCUGCCCUCCAUAUCCUGAUGUGCUCCCUGGCCAUAAAAUACAGAGAUGCUCUUGAAGCGAAAGCAUUUGUUGGAAAGUUGCUCUUUCCUGAAAAAAGAUGUCCAUGGACUACAUGCUGAAAACGUCUUUCUUCUCAAUAGUUUUUAUUAUCACAAGUGCUUUAUUUGGUUUCUUUUCAUUUAAUACAAAAAUGUAACGGAAGAUAAUAUGAGGAGUUGGAUGCAAAUGAAAAUGCUAGCUAAGCACUACUCAAAGCUGAAGUAUUUGUGGCCCAUUUCCAUGCAGGAGAAUGCAAUUUCAAUUGCUCACUGUACCUUAUCUCAGUAUGUGCUGCUUUGUAAAAAAUAUGUUAUGGAAAGUGGUUUUGCUCGUUUUCUGCUAUGUAUUUUUUUCGCCCAUUAUUUCCAUUCAGCUUCCUAAUGUUAACUGUUUAAGAACAGUGAAGCUGGCAAUGCACAGGUUACAAGUAGCCAAGUGGCAGGUCCAUAGGACAGGAGCUCAAUGCAUCUUAGGAGGAUAUAUUUUUAUGCCAUUACUUGUCAAUGGUAAGGUUACAACAUUGGGGAAAUGUUACUAUGGAAUAUUGCACAUCUGUGGAGGCUCUGUGUGCAGUUUGAGAAGUCUGGGUUCUCAGUAAACAGCACAUGGAGCUUCCACUGAUACACAAGGCUCACCACAAGGCUCAAGAGGUUGGAGAAUUUGUGCAAACCUGGUGGCAAUUACGCUCUUCUUUUAGGGCAAUAAUACCUGGAAAAGGGCUUAUACCUAUCACAAAUCAGCUCGUUCUAUCCCUCCAUUGCUACCCUAUGGGAAGCAAGUUACUGUUCCGGAUACCUGACCAAUAAUGCAGAACCCAAACUCUUUCUCAACUGACGUAGGAAGUAUGCUUACCUGGUCUCUGCAGGUUUGUUAAAAACCACUCCACUCACCUUCCCCUCACCUAGGAGGAAGGCAGCACAACUGCCUUGGGAGUGAAGGUAUUGAGAAUGUAACUAAACACUGAAUAAACCAUGGUUGCGGCAUGCUAAAUGCUAAUUAGUCAGUGAUCAUUCUGCUCCGACCAACUGGCAAGGAAAUGCAUAUAACUAUCUUCUUGCUAAUUAACAUGAAUCCUGAAAAAUGAGCAUAAACAACAUCUGGGACUCCAUCCUCAGAUAAGCAGGGGGUGGAGAGAACGCGCUUUGAAUUUCAGAGGCCCUGUUUACUAUUUGUGGGUAUGCUUGAUGCCGACGCACAUUUUUCGGGAGACACCUGGUGCUGUGGGAUAAAAGUGCUGAGAGGCAGCAGGGUAAGCAGAUGAAAAUUAAAUGCAAAGUAACUUCAUUGCACACACUCGGCUGUGCCCCGUAGUACUUGACCCAUUUGC